GGGCGCAUAACUCAGUGGCUAGAGUACUACCUUCACACGGUAGGAGUCGCAGGUUCAAAUCCUGCUGCGCCCACCA
rnacentral:tRNA from 1 species